ensembl:lncRNA
GUGUUUCUAAGUGAAAGAAAUAAUACUGACAGAAAGAAUUCAAGUACUAAGGAAUCAUAUUCAGAAUCUUAUAAGAUUUAGAAGCUACCAUGUUAAAGGAACAGAUGGUCUGGAAUAUAUUUCAAAAGGCAAAGGAUAUAGGCUCACUACCAAAAAUAACUUACUUGGAAAAACUCAGUAUAAUCAUAUGGGAGGUGGGGGGAAUGAGCCUUUAAUGAGAGGACUUCAUGAUGAAAAGACCACAGCUACAUAGAAACUGUGAAGUAUAAACAGAGGAGCCAAGAGGAAGAGAGGAAGCCAAGCAUAAAAAGACCAGAUGUUGGGUUGAAUUGACCAAAUUGACCUGCUGUUUUGAAAGUAAAUGCUGAUGCUGCUGGAGUUAUAAAAAUUAAUCCUGAAAAUAGCAGCAUAGGAAGUCCAUAUCCAAAUCAGAAACUAGGAUCAGUCAGGAAUGGCAGGUCAAUUUUCCUGCUUCCUAAUUAAAACAAGAUGAAACAGCUAGAUGGCUCACUGGAUAGGGUGCUGGGCAAGUCACGUAAUCUGUUUUCCUUAAUCCACUGGAGGAGAAAAUGACAAACUAUUGCAGCAUCUUUUCUAAGUAAACCUCCAAGAGUCAGACCCAACUGAACAAGUAAAAACAACAAGAAAAAAAAUUAAACUGAGACACCAAACACCAUAGCACAAAAUCCAAGGCAUACCUUGGUGAUGAAUGUGACUGGCCAGAAAUUUCUUCUUAUUAGAAAAUGAUGAUUUCUUAUACAACAGCAGGUAAACAGAAAGCCUGCUGGCAAUUUCUGUUCCCCCUCAUCUCUUAAAUACAGAAAUCCUAUUUGAACUGUAUUUUUUUUUAAAUCUCUUUAUCAAGGAGUAAAGUUUGAUAUCAUGGAAAAGAGUACUUGAUUUUAAGUCAAACAACCCAAGUUCAAAUACUGCUUCCUACCAGUGUGACAAAGAAAAAAAAUAUUUAAUUUCUCUGGCCCUUAAUUUCCUUAUCUGUGAAAAUAAGGAGUUGGAGUAGAUGACCUUUAAGAUCCCUACAGAUUAAAAAUCAAUUAUUUUAUGACGCUCAAUCAUUUUAAUAAGAGACAGUUGCCCUAUGCAGAGAGAUGGCAUGUGCUGAUAAAAAGAAUACUUCAAUAGUCAACAUAUUUAUUGAAUAUCUACAAUGUACAAUGCAGUGAAGAUAGUAAGAUAAAAUGAGUGAAUGAAAAAACAUUUAUUUAUCUUUUAUUGUUUCCAACUACACGUAAAAACAAUUUUUAAUAUUCAUUUUUAAAAUUUUGAGUUCCAAAUUCUCUCCCACCAUCCUUCUCCUUCCCCCUCAUUUAGAAGGCAAGCAAUUUGAAACAGGUGAUACGUAUGCAGUUAUACAAAACAUAUUUCCAUAUUAGUCAUGUUGUGAAAAAAAACACAGACUACCCCCAUAAAAAUUCAAUAAAAAUAAAGUAAAAAUAUUCAUGUUUCAAUCUGUACUCAGACUCUAUCACUUCUUUCUUUGAAGGUGAACAGCAUCUUUCAUCAUGAGAUCUUCAGAAUUGUCUUACAUCAUUAUAUUGCUGAGAAUAGCUAAGUUAGUCACAGUUGAUUAUUUUUUUUUUAAUCUCUUUGGGAUAUACUUAGUAGUGGUAUUUCUGAGUCAAAGGGUAUGUGCAGUUUUAUAGCCUUUUGGGUAUAGUUUCAAAGAGAAUGGUUAGAUCAAUAGUUCAUUAGUAUUCCAAUUUUUCCACAUCCCCUCCAAAAUAUGUCCUUUCCUUUGAAAAAGUAUUUAUUAAGGGAUUAUUAUGUGCCAAAUACUAUGCCAAGCACUAGUGAUACAAAUAGAAAAAUCUAUAGUCCCUGUUCACAUUCUACCUGUGGGAAAAGAGAGUUCCAACUGACAAACAGAUGUUAAAAUCCAGAAAUCUUGAAGGUACAUCAGAUGGUCAGAUGGCAAGUCCCAGGGAUCUUUAGAGUACAUCAGCAAAUCAUUAAAAAAAAAAUGCCUAAGAGGGAUCAUAUAAUUAGGGAGAUAAAAAAAGACAUGAAUUCAGAACUCUGUUCAAAAAGUAGUUGAUUAGGAAUAAUAAUAGUUAACAUUUAUAUGGUAUUUACUAUGUGCCAGGAAUUGUGCUAAGCUCUUUACAAUUAUUAAUUCAUUAACUUAAUUAAUUCUUCCCCUCCUCCCCCCUCUGGAAAGAGCUUAUUGUGGAUCUAUGGAUCUUAAAGCUCCAUGAGAAGCUUCUCCUGGUAGCCAUUGAUCUUUUGAGAUCCCAAACUGAGAAGAGCCACCAUAUGUUCAAGAGUUAAAUCUGUAAAAGAACCAGUUUUAAGGAACAACCUUCAUGACAGUCCAGCAGAUUGACCUGGCAGCAGGAUGCCAUGUCCUAUAAGGAAGAGAGUGAUACUGAUGGAAGGCAGGGGUUGAACCCCCAAAAUCUAUUGGUGUUUGGGGCUGAUCUUGUGAGGUAUCUCAAAAGAAUUAGUAAGCUUAGUAGACCAUCUCCAAAUUAAGAGGCAAAGACUUUAUUAUGCUGUGGGCAGCAGGCUAAGUUCCAAAAAGGAGUUUAGUGAUUAACAAGGUGAAAGACGUGGGCUAAGUUCCAUAGUGGAACUCACAAUUAACAAGAUACCCUUGAUUUUGCCAAAAGACAGGCUGUUCCUGGAGAACUUGCUGCCAUAAGGUAGGCAAUUCCUAAUGAACCCACAUUUGAGAUGCUUAGCAAGGUGGGCUAAAUGCCUAAAAGGUGUCAGCAGUUAACAAGGGAAAAAAAUGCAGGCGAAGUUCCCUAGAGGCACUCACCAUAAGAAGGAAUUUGCCAUUUACAAGUAGAAGAUGCCAUGAAAUGAUACCCUUAAUAUUGUCAAAUGACAUUUGACAAUUGAUAAUAAAUAAUUGAGAUUGACCCAUAGUGUCAUACAAAUUUAUAAAUGGAAAAACUAUAGAGAACUAGACAUCUUGAUUUUUUCAGUUUUUUUUUAAUGGUAGUGAUGUGUGAUUUUUUUUCUUUUUUUAUAUACAAUAAUCAUCUUUAUUUUUGUGAUUCUGAUUUUGACAAACACCAACAAACAUGAACAUUUCAUAAUAAUAAAAAGAUUAUCUAUGAAAUCAUGAAUUUUUAUUAUAUCCAGAGUGUUUUUUUUAAGUAUUAUAUUCAACAUAUUGCUUUUAGAAACAAAAAAAAUAAUGCUUAGGAAUCUAUAAACUAGAGGCAGGACAAGUAUUAAGCAUAGGAAGAUGCUAGAAUUCAGUGGCAAGGCAAGUAAUAAGGUGGUUAUUUUUCAUUUCACCAGAAGGAUUAGAAUUUGUGACUCCUAGUUUAUCCAAGCAGUACUUGGAAUAGUAUUCUUCCAUGGGUCUAGGUGGCCCAGGAUAAAGGGAAGGCUUGAAGAUAAGGAAAGUGACUUUAACUGGGGAUAGAAGAAUAAUGGCAUCUUCAGAGAUAAGCAUAAUGUAAAGUAGAAAAUAAUGGAGCAAAGGAAAGACAAAUAGAUUUUUAGUUAGGAGAUCUGAGUUCAAUUGUCAGCUCUGCCAUCUUAUUUAUUGCUUUAUUAGAGGGAAAAGAUUAGGGACAGAUGAAAUUUAGAGGUCAUCUAAUCUAACCUCCAUAAUUGUACAAAUGAGGCAAAGAGACUCAGUUAACAGUGAUGUCCUCCCACACCAGACAAGAGGCAAAGUCAAGUUUUGAACUCAGGUUUAAAUCUUACGUUCUUUCUGCUAUUCCACACUGCCUUCCUUCUAGCCUUAGAAAAUUAAAGUCUUAUGCUUUUUAAAUUCAAAAAAGAGAUGUGAGAGAGUAUUUCUCUUGGGAGCUAGAAGUAGCCAGUCAUUAUCCCAUAAGAAAAUGAACUUCUAGGCACUGUUGACAGGUAUCCAGCUCUUUCAUCAACCAUAGAGAGAGAUGGCCCAUGGGAAUAUAUUUCUAUUUUUUCUCUCUCUCUCUUUUUAAAAAGUUUCUUUUUUUUCUUUAUUUAUUUUCAAAAUAUAUGCAAAGAUAGUUUUCAAUAUUCAUCCCUGCAAAACUUUGCAUUCCAAAUUUUUUCUCCUUCCAUUUCCCCCACCCCCUUCCUUAGACAUCAAGUAACCCAAUAUAUAUUAAAUAUGUGCAAUUCUUCUAUACAUGUUUCCACAAUUAUCAUGCUGCACAAGAAAAAUUAGGAUAUUUCUAUUCUCAAUAAGAGCAAAGCAAAAGGUACAUGACCCAUAAAGUAAUUUUUCAUUUAAAAAAAAUCUUUUUUUUUUAUUAUCCUGAACUUGACAAACACCAGGAAGCAUAUAAAAUCACAGGACUCUAUUAUAAAUAGUGUGGUUCUUUUUUUUUUUUUUUAAUACAUAACAAUAAUGCCAAAACUGCCUAUUUCCCUCUGAAUUUCCUUCUGCUCUUUUCACAAUAAUACAAUGACAAAAAUAGACAGCAGGGUAUCCAGAGUCCUGUCAUCAAGGCCCUGCAAUAGCCACUGACCCACAAGGUGAUUCUGAAUUCUCUUCUCUGGGCCCCUGUGAAAUGAAGUGUGACAGAACAUCUCUCCCACCACCCUCCUCCCCAACUCCUGCAAAGUGUGCUUGUUAUUUUUCAAGCAUGGACUAUUAAAAGAUUUGGCUUUUUCCCUGGCUCAGCCCUGCCCUCUUCCCCAUACCUGAGGCCCACACAAGUGUCUGAACUUGAUCUCCCACAUAGAUAGCAAAUAGCUGGUCCCCGAUGCUGGACAAACCUGUUUGUGAGAAUGGCUGCAGAGGUAUUUCACUCUCCCAGCCUUUCUACUUCUUCAUCACCCUCAAUCAUUCUCUUGCCAUCCAUUAGUCAUAAAAUUAUAGAUCCAGAACUGAAAGUGACCUUAAAUGUCAUAUAAUUUAACUAUCAUUUAAAAAAAUAGAUUAAGAAAAUGAAAUUUGGAUUAAGUAACUCAACAAAGUUCACACAAUAAAGCUUCAAAAAUAGGAUUUGAGCUCAGGUCUUCUCUUUUCACUGUACCAUAUUGCUUCUCUCAGCAUCCUUAAGGAAUGAGCCUUCCUUUCAUCAUCACCUCAGUCUCAACAUAUCUAAAAUGGAAAAAUAUUUGUCCUCCCCCUAAGCCUCCUUCUCACUUAACUAUUCCUGUCAAUGGCACCAACGUGUGCGCGAUCCUCCAAAUGUGAAUCCUUGGUAUUAUUUUUUAUUCUUCCUUUUACCUUUCUCACCUCUGCCACUUUCAUAAUGGUCAUUAUCUGCCCUGGACUACUGUGGUAAAUCUUGGUUCUUCACUUUGUGUUCAUGAACCUGCCCACUGAUGGAAAUUGGGGUCCAUGAACUAGCAUAAGAGAAAAUUACAACUCUUUCCAUAAAGUUGGUUCUCCUUGUUAAUUCUACGUAUUUCAUUUUAGAAGGACUGAGUGUGGAUCACAACAUGGUAUUUUCACUUUUUUUGUUGUUUGUUUGCAUUUUGUUUUCUUUCUUUUUUGAUCUGAUUUUUCUUGUGUAGCAUGAUAAUUGUGGAAAUGUGUGUAGAAGAAUUGCACAUUUAACAUAAAUUGUAUUAUUUGCUGUCUAGGGAAAGGGGUGGAGGAAAGGGAGGGAAAAAAAUUGGAACAGAAGAUUUUGCAAGGAUGAAUGUUGAAAAUUAUCUAUGUAUGUUUUGAAAAUAAAAAAAAAAACUUUUAAAAAAAGAAGGGUUCUCAUGAUAUUGCCAAAGGGGACCAGGACACAGAAAAGGUUAAGGACACUAACUCUAAGGAGUCUUACUACUUUCACUCUCUUUACCUUUCAAUCCAUCCUUCAUACCACUGAUAAAUUAAAUUGUCUUAGGCAUAGAGUAAGUCAUAAUCACACCAAGCUCUCAGAAGUCUUAAGUGGAUCCUCAUUUUUCUACUGGAUGAAAUUCAUGCCCCUUUACCAAUCAUUCAAGGCCCUCUGCAUUCUGUCACCAGCCUUCUUUACCUCCCAUAUCAUUCUCUUUCAUACACUCUUACAAGAUGCCCUUGGAGGCUCAGCAGAAGCUUGAUUCCCAUUGCAGCCAAUACACUUGGGGGAUACCGCCUCCACCAAUGCAAAUCCCCAUUCUUAUAUCCUCUUUAUCAUGAGUAAUUCUUGUCUAUAUACUUACAUAAGUCUCUAACGAGAUUCUUGACCCCAAAGGAGUCAAUAGAUUUUUCACUAUUUUGUCCUGUGAUCCUAACCUUUUCCACUGUUUCUCAGCCAGUACCAAAUUUUGAUGACUGCUGCUUUAUAAUAUAGUUUUAGGUCUGGUAUAGCUAGGCCAUUUAUAUUUUUUUCAUUAAUUCUCUUGAAAUUCUUGAUUUUUUGUUCUUUCAGAUAAACUUUAUUAUUUUUUUCUAGUCAAUAGACAGAUUUUUCAAAGUCUGGGAGUUUUAACCUAGGGUAGGGCUAACGUUAAUGAGGAUCUGCAUAAAUCUGCAUCAGACUGAACUAACCAGGUCAGAAAAAUGAAGUAGAUUAAAGCUUCUACUCUAAUAAGUACUGGGAUUGGGUCUAUAAGUAACCCCUGCACUUCUGGUCUGAGUGGGAAAAGAAAACCCAAUUAAAAAAAAAAAAAGAUUUUAAAUUGGGUCACAGAAUCAUGGACUGCAGAAACUAUCCAGUCCAACCCCUUUAUUUUAUUUUUUAAUUUUUAUUCAUUUUGAAUUUAAAUAAUAGGGACAAAAAACAAACCAAAAA